rnacentral:tRNA from 1 species
GCUGGUUUGUUUGAUUGUUUGCAUGAUUCCCAUUCAUGCGACGUGGGUUCGAUUCCUGCAACCAGCA